GGCUGUAGCCUGUCUCGAGAGGGAAUGGCCAGGGUCCAGACCUGUGGCUCUGUGGGUAAAGAACUGCUGGAGUUGACCCAGGAGGAGAAGAGACUAGAUGAACUCCUACACAUCUCUACACGCAUCAUCCAACAGAUGACCAAAGACACACCCACAAGGAAAUAGCCUUCCUUUACAAGCCUGCUGUUUUUGAGGUGUGUGUGUGUGUUGGUGUUGUCCUGUGUGUGUAAAUGACUACUCUUUUCCUUAACCCCUGGGUAACGUUUGCGUACAUAUCGUAUGAGGAUGUGAAGAGGAUUCCUAGUCUGAAGGACCAGACGGUCAUCAUGGUCAAAGCCCUACUGAAACCAGACUGGAGUUCCAGACCCUGCAGAGAGUCUCCAGGUCCACCUGAGCAGUACCCAGGGUCCAAUAGAAGUCUUCCUAUGCUCUGAUGACCACGCCCCCUCCACGCUGAACAACGUGGCACUGAAUGGAAACUCCUCUUUGUCCGUCCUCAAGGUGUCACAAGGGGGUAAUAACCCCACCGAUAACGCCAGUAUCAGUUUCUCCAACGCCCUGUCCAGGCUCCCAGCAUGCUCAGCAGUGACAGUGACCCCGGUCUCCCUCCUCCCCCUCCAGGAUGUCGACCAGGAGCCCUUUGUCUCCCUCUCUCCCUCCCUCCUCUUUGAGGAGGACGACUACAUGCUCAGCCUGGGGGAAGACGACUUGUUGUCCUACGACCUGGACCAGCUUCCACUUGAAGACCUGCUCUGUAACUGAGUGAAAUGGAAACUCAGCGGCCAUUUGGGGGAUUUUGAUUUUUGAGGCACUGUUAUUGGCCCAAAUGUGGUCAUUUACAGUAUAACGAACUGUUGUAUCUUAUAGCCCAGUGGUUUCAUCAGCUGUAGCUCAGCAGCCAUUUUGGAGCAAUGCUUUUUCUUGACAUUCUGGACUGCAUCGCUCAUAGAGGACCUGCUGUGUAAUUGACAUUGAAUGUGAAAAUAUAUAUUAUUUUUUUUUGUAUAGAUGUGAUCGAAGGAAGUAAGCCUAUGUUGCCAUCCGGACAAAUGUGGCAGGCCAGCACAAACACAAACUGUCUAGAGGGGAGAAUUCUGUGGCUGAACAAACAGACAAACCCCUUCUCAAAGCCUUGUUUUUCUGGUUUGACCUGCGCUGAGGCAAACCAACAUUCAAUCACUCCCCAUAGCAGACCGUUUUGUCUUGAUGAACUGUUCUCGUCUGAAAACACAGAUUGUCCCUAACAGAGAUGGAUUAUGGGUAUUAACCUCUGGACACAUUGAUUCUUACCCAUCUCUUCCGUUGUGUGACUUAUCUGUCAACUUGUGUUUUAAUAAUGUGAUGUAGUGGAACCUACCCGGCUAGGUCCUGGUUCUCGGGUUCACAAGAAGCGAGCAGACCUGAUAUCUAGGCCCCAGGAUGGUGAGGUCUGCCUGGGCGUCGAUGGUACGCGAGUCCCCUGGUCUUCCACAUGGAGCCUUCUGACCCAAUACUGGGAGAGACUCACUGGUAUUGUUAGGAUAACCAGAGUAUGUAGUGAAAGAUGGCCCUGGACUGCAUCCCAAAUCGCACCCUAUUCCCUAUAUAGUGCACUACUUUUGAUCAGGGCUCUGUUCAGAAGUAGUGCACUAUA